rnacentral:rRNA from 1 species
AUUGAACGCUGGCGGCAGGCCUAACACAUGCAAGUCGAACGAGUGGCGGACGGGUGAGUAAUGUCUGGGAAACUGCCUGAUGGAGGGGGAUAACUACUGGAAACGGUAGCUAAUACCGCAUACCAUCGGAUGUGCCCAGAUGGGAUUAGCUAGUAGGUGGGGUAAAGGCUCACCUAGGCGCCGAUCCCUAGCUGGUCUGAGAGAAUGACCAGCCACACUGGAUCUGAUACACGGUCCAGACUCCUACGGAAGGCGGCAGGGGGGAAUAUUGCACAAUGGGCGCAAGCCUGUUGCAGCCAUGCCGCGUGUAUGAAGAAGGCCUUCGGGUUUUAAAGUACUUUCAGCGGGGAGGCGUUACCCGCAGAAGAAGCACCGGCUAACUCCGUGCCAGCAGCCGCGGUAAUAC